UGUUGUUGCUAUUGUUGUUUUUAAAGUCACCAGAUCUUGUCUGGUCUUUGGAAGCUAUGCAGGCCAGCCCUGGUUGGUACUUGGAUGGAGAGCAUCACUGAAUACCAAGAGCUGUACUAU
rnacentral:rRNA from 11 species